rnacentral:rRNA from 1 species
GAUAAACGCUGGCGGCGCACAUAAGACAUGCAAGUUGAACGGACUUAAUCGAAAUAUUUAUAUUUUGAAGCGGUUAGUGGCGGACUGGUGAGUAACGCGUAAGGAACCUGCCUAUUAGAGGGGAAUAACAGUGAGAAAUCAUUGCUAAUACCGCAUAUGCCAUAGAUAUCACAUGAUAACAGUGGGAAAGGAGCAAUCCGCUAAUAGAUGGCCUUGCGUCUGAUUAGAUAGUUGGUGGGGUAACGGCCUACCAAGUCGACGAUCAGUAGCCGGACUGAGAGGUUGAACGGCCACAUUGGGACUGAGAUACGGCCCAGAAUCAUACGGGAGGCAGCAGUCGGGAAUAUUGCGCAAUGGAGGAAACUCUGACGCAGUGACGCCGCGUAUAGGAAGAAGGUUUUCGGAUUGUAAACUAUUGUCGUUAGGGAAGAGAAAGGACAGUACCUAAGGAGGAAGCUCCGGCUAACUACGUG